GACGAAGGAUGCAAGCGUUAUCCGGAUUCAUUGGGUUUAAAGGGAGCGUAGGUGGCCUUAUAAGUCAGUGGUGAAAUCUCGCAGCUUAACUGCGAAAUUGCCAUUGAUACUGUAGGGCUUGAGUAUAGUUGCGGUUGGCGGAAUAUGACAUGUAGUGGUGAAAUACAUAGAGAUGUCAUAGAACACCGAUUGCGAAGGCAGCUAACGAAACUAUAACUGACACUGAGGCUCGAAAGUGCGGGGAUCAAACAGG
rnacentral:rRNA from 1 species